UACGGGGGGAGCAAGCGUUGUUCGGAGUUACUGGGCGUAAAGCGUGCGUAGGCGGUUGUCUAAGUUUGGUGUGAAAUCUCCUGGCUUAACUGGGAGGGUGCGCCGAAAACUGGGUGACUGGAGUGUCGGAGAGGUAAGCGGAAUUCCUGGUGUAGCGGUGAAAUGCGUAGAGAUCAGGAGGAACACCUGUGGUGUAGACAGCUUACUGGACGAUAACUGACGCUGAGGCACGAAAGCGUGGGUAGCAAACAGG
rnacentral:rRNA from 1 species